UAGUUCCCCAUGAGACAUUAGCGUGAGUUAAUGAUGGCUUUCAUUCUGCCUUUCAGGUUCACUUUCAUUCAGUGAGGGCAUAGAAAUUUGAGAGAUCACACCCAGGAAAAAGGUUUGACAGAGAGCAAAAUAUUUCCAUUUCCCCCAGCAAACAGCUUGUCCUCACGUAACGACAGUUUUCCAUCUGCAAGAACUGCCUUUUUGAUUCCACGAACCACCUGAGGUGAAAAUUUUGAGGCC
rnacentral:lncRNA from 1 species